GGGAAUGUGGCUUAGUGGUAGAGUGCUUGCCUAGCAUGCAUGAAGCCCUGGGUUCAAUUUCUCAUUACCA
rfam:Dipodomys ordii contig_7115, whole genome shotgun sequence.